rnacentral:rRNA from 1 species
CCUACGGGAGGCUGCAGUCGAGAAUCUUCCGCAAUGGACGAAAGUCUGACGGAGCGACGCCGCGUGAUUGAUGAAGCUCUUCGGAGUGUAAAGAUCUUUUAUGAGGGAAGAAGUUUAUUGACGGUACCUCAUGAAUAAGGGGCUCCUAAUCUCGUGCCAGCAGGAGCGGUAAUACGAGAGCCCCGAGCGUUAUCCGGAAUUAUUGGGCGUAAAGGGUGCGUAGGUGGUUGUGUUAGUCGUUUGUUAAAUCCUCGGGCUUAACCCGAGAUCCGCGAACGAAACGGCACAACUAGAGAGUGUGAGAGGUAUAGGGAACUCAUGGUGUAGGGGUGAAAUCCGUUGAUAUCAUGGGGAACACCAAAAGCGAAAGCACUAUACUAGCACAUAUCUGACACUUAAGCACGAAAGCGUGGGUAGCGAAUGGGAUUAGAUACCCGGGUAGUC